rnacentral:rRNA from 1 species
GACAGAGGGGGGCAAGCGUUGCUCGGAAUCACUGGGCGUAAAGGGCGCGUAGGCGGGGUCCGCAAGUCGAUCGUGAAAUCCCUUCGGCUCAACUGAAGGGGGGUCGGUCGAUACUGCGGGUCUGAGGGAUGCAGAGGAGACUGGAAUUCCCGGGUGUAGCGGUGAAAAUGCGCAGAUAUCAGGAGGAACACCGGUGGCGAAGGCGGGGUCUCUGGGGCCGAUACUGACGUGAGGAGCGAAAAGCGUGGGGGGAGCGAAACAGG